UCUAGGGUAGCUCAGAUGGUAGAGCGUCGGGACUCGAACCCGAAGGUCCUUGGUUCAACUCCAAGCCCUAGUCUAA